AUACGGAGGGUGCAAGCGUUACUCGGAAUCACUGGGCGUAAAGCGCGCGCAGGCGGUUUGAUAAGUUGGAUGUGAAAUCCUAUGGCUCAACCAUAGAACUGCAUCCAAAACUGUCAAACUAGAGUCUGGGAGAGGAAGAUGGAAUUAGUUGUGUAGGGGUAAAAUCCGUAGAGAUAACUAGGAAUACCAAAAGCGAAGGCGAUCUUCUGGAACAGUACUGACGCUGAGGCGCGAAGGCGUGGGGAGCAAACAGGAUUAGAAACCCUAGUAGUCC
rnacentral:rRNA from 1 species